rnacentral:tRNA from 1 species
GGAAAUAUGAGAAUCAAGAAUAGGCUUCUAACUUAAUUCUUAAGCGAUGAAACUUCGUUUAUAUUUCUA